rnacentral:rRNA from 1 species
UCGCUACUACCGAUUGAAUGAUUUAGUGAGGCUCUCGGACUGGGCUCUGAUGACACUUCGGUGUUUUCUUAGCUCGGAAAGUUUUCCAAACUGUAUCAAGGUUUCCGUAGGUGA